UACAGAGGGUGCGAGCGUUGUCCGGAAUCACUGGGCGUAAAGGGCGCGUAGGUGGUGGCUUAAGCGUGCGGUGAAAGCUCGGAGCUCAACCCCUGAUCGGCCGUGCGAACUGGGGGGCUGGAGCACUGUAGAGGCAGGCGGAAUUCCGGGUGUAGCGGUGGAAUGCGUAGAGAUCCGGAAGAACACCGGUGGCGAAGGCGGCCUGCUGGGCAGUGGCUGACGCUGAGGCGCGACAGCGUGGGGAGCAAACAGG
rnacentral:rRNA from 1 species